UCCAUCGAUCGACAACCGACGGGCCGGG
rnacentral:sRNA from 1 species